UUGGCUACUAAUGUUCAGUACUUCAAUACAAUAAGUUGUUUCUGUAAUGCUUGAGAUGUAUUAAUACUUUAUCUAUGUUUGGAUGUAAUAUGCUCAUUCAAAGUGAAACAGUUAUUUAGAGUGUAGGCUCAGGAGGAGGUCCACAAUGCUUCACCGGGGAGUUUACAUAGGUCCAUGAUCAAAGCUGCCCAACAGGUGCAGGUGCAGGUCACAAUCCUGCCUUCCCUACCCAAAAUUCAGGUGAAGUUUGCUAAGCCCACACAUGGGUAGAGCCUUCUGCAACUACAUACAGCCGCAUGUACCAAUAUAACAUAUGGUUUGAGGCACCUAUGGAUCUAAAGAAAGGGCGGGAAAGAUUAAUAUUUGAACAAAAGUAUGGGGAAGCAUUUACUUCAGCCCAUGAAUUGUUGGAUGUUUAUUUGAUUUUUAGAUAAUGCAGAUUUUGCUUAGUUUUUCAGAGUUUAUAAUUGAGAAGAUGAGCAUGUGCUCUCUCUCUCUCUGUCUUUCUUUUAUGACAUCUCAUCCUUAUCUUUUUCUAUAUUUUUAGUUCUUCAGUUUUGGGGCAUAACUUUUCUGUAUGAUGAUAUUCGUUGUAGGAUGAAUCGAUUCAUACUGUAUAUUUGAGUCCAUACUUGUCUUUUGAUUGUCAGUUUGUACAAGGUAGGUCCAUGGUUCAAGGAUCUAGAUGGCUCCAAACAUGGUUUUCAACCAUUCCUAAAUAGGGAUUUUGGUGUAGUGUUAUGUGGGUUUUAUUGUUGGAUCUAGCAAUUAUACAUUGCUUUUUUAUCAUCCUCUGGUCUGAAUUUUUAGAUAUUUUGUGGAGGGAGCAUUCAAAUCUAGACAAAUGUGUGUUUCAUAUGAUCAUUCCAAUUUGAACGAAUGUUUAAGAAUGGGUGAAAUGUGAUUGUUAAGAUUGCCUACUGACUAUGGUCUCUUAUGAUGCUCCAUCCACGGUUUGGUCUAUUGUGAGGACGGUAUUGAUUAGCGCAUUUAUGUUGCAUGUGGUAGAUGGGUUGCUGCACAUGGGUGGAAAGCAAAGGAUAUAUCACGCAGACUCUUUUAUUGUUGUUUUCAUCAUCUCAUGGCAUUCUUUAUUUUGCUAUAGGGCUAGUUUUGGAUAUACAUACUAAUCUUGUUUUCUCUUUACAGAAUAGCCAUUGUGCUUUAUGUGUAGGGUUGCCCAGAAUGGAAACUCAUUAGCUGGGGACCUGUUUACUUGCUCUUUUUCUGCCCAAAUCUCAAGCGAUAUAAGUAACUCAUUAGGUGGAGAUAGUGUUGUGGAAUAAAUUUCUACCUAUCAUUCUGUUUAGUUUGCCAGAUGAAAAUUUAGUUCUCUCAUACGUUUCAUAGCUCCUGCUACUUCACUUUCUUGUGCUAUACAAGAGAAAGAGUGUUGUACCCUUUGGUAUGGGUCAAAUCCAAUGAUAUUUAAA